rnacentral:rRNA from 1 species
UACGGAGGAUGCAAGCGUUAUCCGGAAUGAUUGGGCGUAAAGCGUCCGCAGGUGGCAAUGUAAGUCUGCUGUCAAAGCGUCUGGCUCAACCAGAUAAAGGCAGUGGAAACUACAUAGCUAGAGUAAGGUAGGGGUAGAGGGAAUUCCUGGUGUAGCGGUGAAAUGCGUAGAGAUCAGGAAGAACACCGGUGGCGGAAGCGCUCUGCUGGACCUUAACUGACACUGAGGGACGAAAGCUAGGGGAGCGAAUGGG